AAAAAAUUUUCAAAUAGGAAAUAACGUGUUAGGAUUCGGGUAAGGAGAGAGCCAUCCAAGAAGAAGGAGCAGCGCGCGGCAGCGCCAUUGGGGACCAGUCGCCCACCAUCGCCGGCACGUUGCCCCCACCAGAUCAUAUACUGUACAAGUGGGUUAAGAUCGCGAUUUGUGGAACAUAUAGACUGGUAAUUGAAGUGAAAAAAUUGUCACGGCUAUCCUCUCCCUUUGGCAUGGCUGAGAUAGUUGCUGCUGCAGCAGCUUCUGCAGGGACUUCUGCUGUAGUAGUUGAGGCAUACAAAGAUGCGAGGAAUGCAGCUGACUCUAUUGACGAAAUGAGAUAUUAUGAGAAAAGUCUGGAUAAAAAUUAUGAAAAGUUGCAGGAUGCGAUUAAAAAGGUCUAUGCCAGGAAAGGUGAUUUGUUAGUGAAAAUAAAUAGGGAUAGGACAAAGCAGGCUACCGAAGAAUGCAAUGUGUGGAUGGGUAGUGUCAAGAAACUUGAGAAAGAGGUGCUAGCCUUGAAAGCUGAAUAUGAAGAAGAAAAAAGCCACAAGUUUAAAUCGGUUCGUCUUUGCCCACGUUCAAAUCUUAGCAAACGCAUGGUAGAGAAACUUUUUGAGGUACAAAGUUGUUGGUCAGAGGGGAGCAAUUUUGGAACUGACUUUCUGGUUGAGAGAUCAGCAAAACCUAUCAUAAAAGCGAAGGCACCAAAAAUAGAGGACAAG
rnacentral:misc_RNA from 1 species